GGCACAUGAAGGGGCUCAGUGACUUAACUGCAUGGAUGUAAAGUGCAGCUCUGAUCAACCUUAAUGCACUAGGACAUUCAAUCUGAAACCCUGCCUCCGAGAAGGUGUACUUCAGAGAAGCAGCAUACACUAUACUGGGCUCUUGUUAAGGUCACAGUCCAUCACGGAGGGAAGCCAGGGCAGGAACUCAAGGCAAGAGCCUGAAUGCAGGAAAUGAAGUACAGAGCAUGGGAGAACACUGCUUACUGGCUUGCUCAGCUACCCUUCUUACACAGCCCGUACUGCCAUAAGCAGGGAUAGUAUAUCCCAUAAUGGAUUCACGAUCAAGAAAAUGGCCCAAACAUACCCACCAGCUAACCUGAUGGAGGCAGUUCCUCAACUGAGGCUUCUCUUUCCAGAGCAGGGAAUCCCUCAGAAGAGGAGGCAGGAGUCGGGGAGACAGAGGGGCGUACAGAGGACACCAGGAGAACAAGGCUCUCUAAAACAACAGAGCAAGCUCAUAUGAACUCACAGACUGAAGCAGCCUUCAGAAGGCCUAUAGAGGUCCGCACAGGUUCUCUGCAUAUAUACUAUAGCUUCAGUUAGUACUUUUAUGGGACUCCUGAAAGUGUGAACA